AAAUUAGAUUAGUACGAAGGAGUAGCUCAUUAUCAGGGAGAGGCAAAUGUAUAUUUUGUAAUAAUGGCCAACCACCAGAUAAAUCCAGACCGCACAGUAGUACCACCUCGAAGAAGCACUUAACCGUGCUGAAGAAUAAACCCUCUCUCAAAAUGUUCAGAUCUCAUUCAGAAGAGCCUCGACAGGAAGAAACGUAUCCUCUAGAGCCCAGGUCCUCUUCUGAAAAACAAUGUUUCUCCAGGUAGCUCCAAAGAGAGACCAAACAUCAUAAUCAUUCAGCCCUCUGGUGAGAGAGGGAAACAAGACGAAGCAUGGAGUUCAUCAGCUCCUACGUCAUCAAGUGAAAGGAGCCCUGUGAUUAGUCAAGUAAAUUCAAUUAUUGAUCCUUUCACUGCCACAAAAGUAGGCAAAAGCGAAUUGGAUGGCAAGGACAUCUCCAUGGUGAGUCAAGUCAGU